GCUGACGAGUGGCGGACGGGUGAGUAAUGUCUGGGAAACUGCCUGAUGGAGGGGGAUAACUACUGGAAACGGUAGCUAAUACCGCAUAAUGUCGCAAGACCAAAGAGGGGGACCUUCGGGCCUCUUGCCAUCGGAUGUGCCCAGAUGGGAUUAGCUUGUUGGUGGGGUAACGGCUCACCAAGGCGACGAUCCCUAGCUGGUCUGAGAGGAUGACCAG
rnacentral:rRNA from 1 species